rnacentral:rRNA from 1 species
AAGCCUACUCUAGCUCAACCAACCUAUUCUAAUAAGACAACUAAAAACUCAUUACACCACUAAACUAAAACAUUCUCCAGCCCCAGUAUAGGCGAUAGAAAAGGCAUUCGACGCGAUAGAGACCGUACCGUAAGGGAAAGAUGAAAUAAUAAUGAAAUACCCAAGCAAAAAACAGCAAAGACCAACCCUUGUACCUCUUGCAUCAUGAUUUAGCAAGAACAACCAAGCAAAACGUACUAAAGCUUGCCCCCCCGAAACCCAAGCGAGCUACCCACGAGCAGUCACUAAGGACGAACCCGUCUCUGUUGCAAAAGAGUGGGAUGACUCGUCGGUAGAGGUGAAAAGCCAACCGAGCUGGGUGAUAGCUGGUUGCCUGUGAAACGAAUCUAAGUUCCUCCUUAAUUUUUUCCACCUGGACAUCCACCAAACCAACCCGUAACAAAUUAAGAGCUAUUCAAGGGAGGUACAACUCCCUUGAAAAAGGAUACAACCUCAACCAGCGGAUAACUACCACACCCCAACCCCUGUUGGCCUUAAAGCAGCCAUCAACAAAGAGUGCGUCAAAGCUCGAAUACCCCAAAAUUCCAAAACAAUAUGACUCCCUCACCCCUAACAGGCCAACCUAUGACCAUAGAAGAAUUCAUGCUAGAAUAAGUAACUAGGGGAUUUUUCCCCCUCUUUAAGCGCAAGCUUACACUAACACAUUAACAGACCCCAAUAAUACCCCAAAUCCAACAAGAAUCUAUAUCAAAUUAAUCCUGUUAACCCAACUCAGGAGCGCUUACAAGAAUGAUUAAAAUCUGUAAAAGGAACUCGGCAAAUCAAGGGCCCGACUGUUUACCAAAAACAUAGCCUUCAGCCAACAACAAGUAUUGAAGGUGACGCCUGCCCAGUGACUAAAGUUCAACGGCCGCGGUAUCCUAACCGUGCAAAGGUAGCGCAAUCAAUUGUCCCAUAAAUCGAGACUUGUAUGAACGGCUAAACGAGGUCCUAACUGUCUCCUACAGACAAUCAGUGAAAUUAGUCACCCCGUGCAAAAACAGGGAUGUGAACAUAAGACGAGAAGACCCUGUGGAACUUAAAAAUCAACAGCCACUACAUCAAAAACCCCUCCCACUGGGUCCACCAUAUUUAAAAGCAUGGCUGAUAUUUUUCGGUUGGGGCGACCUUGGAGAAAAACAAAUCCUCCAAAAACAAGACCACAACUCUUAGUUAAGGGUUACCUCCCAACACACUAACAGUGACCAGACCCAGUACAACUGAUCAAUGAACCAAGCUACCCCAGGGAUAACAGCGCAAUCCCCUCCAAGAGCCCAUAUCGACAAGGGGGUUUACGACCUCGAUGUUGGAUCAGGACAACCUAAUGGUGCAGCCGCUAUUAAGGGUUCGUUUGUUCAACGAUUAACAGUCCUACGUGAUCUGAGUUCAGACCGGAGCAAUCCAGGUCGGUUUCUAUCUAUGAAACACCUUCCCUAGUACGAAAGGACCGGGAAAGUGGGGCCAAUAUCACAAACACGCCCUCCCUCCAAAUAGUGACCUCAACUCAACUAUCAAGAGACUACCACACCACCAAACCACCCUAGAAAAGGGUUA